UACAGAGGUCCCAAGCGUUGUUCGGAUUCACUGGGCGUAAAGGGUGCGUAGGCGGUCGGGUAAGUCUGAUGUGAAAUCUCACAGCUUAACUGUGAAACUGCAUUGGAUACUAUCCGGCUAGAGGAAUGGAGGGGAGACUGGAAUACUUGGUGUAGCGGUGAAAUGCGCAGAUAUCAGGAGGAACACCGGUGGCGAAGGCGGGUCUCUGGGCCGAUAUUGACGCUGAGGAGCGAAAGCGUGGGGAGCGAACAGG
rnacentral:rRNA from 1 species